UUUAAUAACAAAAUGGUAUAUAUUUUACAAUGCUGUGUUUGCUUGUGUAUUAUAAAAGUAAAACGCGGUGUAUUACUAUUCAUGUAUUUUACCGAACUCAAAGUACCGGCCAUUUUUUCAAGUCAAACUGAACUGGGCGCGUGAAAGCUAACCGUUCAUGGCGUCAUGCUACUUAUGUCUCAGUCCUGCUUUUAAAAAUAUCAAGCUGCAGUUGUCUUAUGUGCUAAACAUGAGUUGAUGUCCCGGUUGUUAACAUAAAAGCAGGUGGCCAUUUAACUUCGCUGCAUCCAGACACUCCUGAACUUUUCCUGGCAAGCAACUAGGCAUCUUUAUAAUAGGUGUGUACAUUUGUUUUUGUUUUACUCAACCUGUUAAACAUUUAGUUUAAAUCAAGAAAUGUGUGGUGUUUUCUACAAUAACAUAAACAUAAUGUUUUGUUGUGUCUUUCUAAUAAUGUCUAAUGCAGCACUAUGUAACUUAUGAUAGUGUUUUUAGAUAUUUGUUGAAGCUGUCACUGUGUCGUGAUAUUGCAUGGGAGAUAAUCUGUG